rnacentral:rRNA from 1 species
GGACAGUGACUGACGCUGAGGCGCGAAAGCUAGGGGAGCGAACGGGAUUCGAUACCCCGGUAAUCCUAGCCGUAAACGAUGGGCACUUGGUGUUGGGGGUAUUGAGUCCCCCGGUGCCGGAGUUAACACGUUAAGUGCCCCGCCUGGGGAGUACGGUCGCAAGACUGAAACUCAAAGGAAUUGACGGGGGCCCGCACAAGCGGUGGAGCAUGUGGUUCAAUUCGACGCAACGCGAAGAACCUUACCGGGGCUCGAACGGUAACUGCGAUUCCUGGAAACAGGAAGUUCUCUUCGGAGACGGUUAUCGAGGUGCUGCAUGGCUGUCGUCAGCUCGUGUCGUGAGAUGUUGGGUUAAGUCCCGCAACGAGCGCAACCCUUGCCCUUAGUUGCCAUCAGGUUAUGCUGGGCACCCUAAGGGAACUGUCGGCGAAAAGCCGGAGGAAGGUGGGGAUGACGUCAAGUCCUCAUGGCCCUUACGUCCCGGGCUACACACGUGCUACAAUGGUCGGUACAAAGGGUUGCCAACCCGCGAGGGGGAGCUAAUCCCAAAAAGCCGAUCUCAGUUCGGAUUGCAGUCUGCAACUCGACUGCAUGAAGGCGGAAUCGCUAGUAAUCGCAGAUCAGAAUGCUGCGGUGAAUACGUUCCCGGGCCUUGUACACACCGCCCGUCACAUCACGAAAGUGGGUUGUACUAGAAAUCGCUGAGCUAACCCGCAAGGGGGGCAAGCGCUUAAGGUAUGAUCCAUGAUUGGGGUGAAGUCGUAACAAGGUAACCA